rnacentral:misc_RNA from 1 species
GAAAUGCGAUAAGCAAUGCGAAUUGCAGAAUUCCGCGAGUCAUCAGAUCUUUGAACGCAGCCCGCGCCAGAGAGCUAUCUCUUUGGCAUGUUUGUUUCAGUGUGUUUGGUUGACUUCAAACAGCUCAAUGCGAUUGAACUCUCUCUCUUGUAAAAGAGGGGGGGGGAGGUCUCUCGUGAAAAGCGAAGGCGUGGGACUCGCCCCGCCAACGAUGUGGUCACUGUUCUACAGUGAAUUCGUUGGGUAACAUCGAGGCAAGUCAUUUAUGUACGUCUUAAUCAAAUCAAAAUCUUCAAUCUGCACCUGAAAUCAAGCAAGAACACCCGCUGAACUUAA